rnacentral:rRNA from 1 species
AACGAACGCUGGCGGCAGGCCUAACACAUGCAAGUCGAGCGCCCCGCAAGGGGCGCGGCGGACGGGUGAGUAACGCGUGGGCAUAUGCCCUUUGCUACGGAAUAGUCUCGGGAAACUGGGGGUAAUACCGUAUACGCCCUUUGGGGGAAAGAUUUAUCGGCGAAGGAUUAGCCCGCGUUGGAUUAGGUAGUUGGUGGGGUAAUGGCCUACCAAGCCGACGAUCCAUAGCUGGUUUGAGAGGAUGAUCAGCCACACUGGGACUGAGACACGGCCCAGACUCCUACGGGAGGCAGCAGUGGGGAAUCUUAGACAAUGGGGGCAACCCUGAUCUAGCCAUGCCGCGUGAGUGAUGAAGGCCUUAGGGUUGUAAAGCUCUUUCAGCUGGGAAGAUAAUGACGGUACCAGCAGAAGAAGCCCCGGCUAACUCCGUG